UCUUAUCCCAUCACAUGGUCCACAGUAGAAUUAAAAAAUUUAUAGCCUCUAUCAUGGCAUGUGUUGUAUUGUUAUGGGUUAAGAGUUUUUAUUUUAAUUUUUUAAAUUUUCUUUUUUUACAAAUUUGAUAUUAGUUUUAAAUUUAUUUAAAAAACACCCUCCCCAUUAUCAGCCCAUCCCCUUCCCUGUCAGCCAUCACCCCCAUCUCCCCCUUCCCACACCCCAACCACCAACACUUCCCUCAUAACUCAUAGCCAUCACCCAUCGACCCCGUUACCGAGCGUGGGGACAUAUCGCGCGUGGAUUGGUGGAUUUCGUUUUGUGUAUGGGGAGGGUUUUCGUUGGCAACUUGGUGGGGAUGGAUUUAGGAGGGGGUGGGUUGAGGAGGUGGUUGUUGCGGUGGAGUUGAGGUGUUGAUUGUGAGGAAGAGGAGAGAGAAAGGAUGUGAUUGUAGUAAAGCGAGAGUGAGAGUUAAGAGGGUGGCAAGAACGAGUUUGGUUUCGAAGCAUAGUAAGAGAUUUUUGACAGGUAUUUCGGUGACUUCGCCGGUUGAUGGUGAAGAGUCUUGUUUCUUCACUAUUGGGGUGUGAUGUGUGAAGACCGAGGAGAGAUAGAGAGAGGAGGAUUUUAAAGGGGGUGGUGAUUGAGGGAGCUGAGAUGGUGGCUGGUGAGAGCUGCUUGGUGAUGCUCAUGUCAGAAAUUAUGGAAGGGAAAAGGUAUAAGGUGAAGCCCGAGACACCUCAUGAUGAUUUCUCGAGUUGGAGGAUGCUCAAAGUGUAAGGUGGAAGCUCUUACAUAGCUCAUAAAGCAAGGAGUGGCUAGCUUCACGAUUUGGUGAUUGCACUUGCAUGCUGCGAUCGGAUGAAAAUAUGGUGUUGAACCCACCGUAACUCCAUUUCAGGACUGCCAUAUCUAGUGACAAUCAAGAGGAAAACACCACCUACAUCACGAGCGCGCAAGGAAAGUCCCUUGCUCUAGUGGCGCGGUUGCGCAGCCUGCCAACGCGGACGCGCUUCUCCUCCACGUGGGGGCGCCACUUGGGUUUCCUGCUCCGUACCCAGAUCGUCGCGGACGUGCUUGUUCGUGAGAUGGCAUGCCCGGACGGAUCUAUUUUUGGACUUCUUCCUCAUUCCUCCCUAGUUAGUUAUACUCUAAAUAGUUAUUUCCUUCUAUUUUGAUGAACAACUAGAAUUAGACUUCAAUUUCUAUUUUUGCAUUAGAUUUUAGAGAGAGAAACUUGAGAGAGAAAUUGGUGAUUUCUACUUUUGAUCUUCUUCUUCUUUGAAUGCAAGAACAAUUUCUUAAAUUUGAUCAAAGUUUGUAAGAUUCUUCUUCUUCUUAAUUCAAUCUCUUUGCAUUUGAUUUUGUUA